AAAAAAAAAGAAUAAAAACAAAAAACUCGUGAAAUUUGAGCGAAUGAAAAAUGGUUAGAGGUCGAAAGUUGAAACCCUUUGCCUUUGACACUGAAGCAAUACACAUACAAAAUGUCAUCCCUCGGCAUCAUUCGAGGCGUUCAAAGCAUAAAAACCAUAACCUCCGUAACAGCAUAGUGAAAUUCGUAUUGAAAUUAAAUUAAAAUCAACUAUUCACGGUCCACCUACAAAACAUAAAACUGUAUAAUUUCCGAGUUUAAGCUCGUUUGGUCAUAAAAAUAGCCGUUAGAAAUUUACAAAAGCGACGUGUGAAAUAUAUUAUGCAUAAUAUGUACAAAAGAUACAAUACGGUAAAAC